rnacentral:rRNA from 1 species
AACGAACGCUGGCGGCAGGCUUAACACAUGCAAGUCGAGCGCACCGCAAGGGGAGCGGCAGACGGGUGAGUAACGCGUGGGAAUCUACCCAUCUCUACGGAAUAACGCAUGGAAACGUGUGCUAAUACCGUAUACGUCCUUCAGGAGAAAGAUUUAUCGGAGAUGGAUGAGCCCGCGUUGGAUUAGCUAGUUGGUGGGGUAAAGGCCUACCAAGGCGACGAUCCAUAGCUGGUCUGAGAGGAUGAUCAGCCACACUGGGACUGAGACACGGCCCAGACUCCUACGGGAGGCAGCAGUGGGGAAUAUUGGACAAUGGGCGCAAGCCUGAUCCAGCCAUGCCGCGUGAGUGAUGAAGGCCCUAGGGUUGUAAAGCUCUUUCACCGGUGAAGAUAAUGACGGUAACCGGAGAAGAAGCCCCGGCUAACUUCGUGCCAGCCGCCGCCGUAAGAC